AUACGUAGGUGACAAGCGUUAUCCGGAUUUACUGGGCGUAAAGGGCGUGUAGGCGGUCUUGCAAGUCAGAAGUGAAAUUCCUGAGCUCAACUCGGGCGCUGCUUCUGAAACUGCAGGACUUGAGUGCUGGAGGGGAUAGCGGAAUUCCUAGUGGAGCGGUAAAAUGCGCAGAUAUUAGGAAGAACACCGGUGGCGAAGGCGGCUAUCUGGACAGUAACUGACGCUGAGGCGCGAAAGCGUGGGGAGCAAACAGGAUUAGAUACCCUGGUAGUCCACACCGUAAACGAUGAAUACUAGGUGUAGGGGGUAUCGACUCCCUCUGUGCCGCAGUUAACACAAUAAGUAUUCCGCCUGGGGAGUACGGCCGCAAGGUUGAAACUCAAAUGAAUUGGCGGGG
rnacentral:rRNA from 1 species